UUGCGGGGAAUCACAUCAUGU
rnacentral:miRNA from 1 species